rnacentral:rRNA from 1 species
UACGUAGGGGGCUAGCGUUGUCCGGAUUUAUUGGGCGUAAAGAGCGUGUAGGCGGCCAGGUAGGUCUGCUGUGAAAACUCGGGGGCUCAACCUCGAGAUGUCGGCGGAAACCAUCUGGCUAGAGUCCGGAAGAGGAGAGUGGAAUUCCUGGUGUAGCGGUGAAAUGCGCAGAUAUCAGGAAGAACACCCGUGGCGAAGGCGGCUCUCUGGGACGGUACUGACGCUGAGACGCGAAAGCGUGGGGAGCGAACAGG